AUGGCACCAACAGCGGUAGAAGUUUUGAGUAGAGACAAUCCACUCCUCAGAAAUGAGGUCAAACGAAUUUCUGAGAAGUGGGAGAAGCGGACAGUUAAAUCAGGCACAAUAUGGCCCGUGGGAGGGACUUUUGAUCAGACAAUGUGUAGGGACAUGGAGGUAGUAAUAAGGAACUACAAACCUAACAGAAGUGGUAAAAAGCCCUUGGAGAAGAGAGACAGGGAAAAGUUAGUGCUAGCUUUGUUCGAAGAGGAGGGAGAGAGGUGGCGCGCAUUACGAGUGGCCAGAAGAAUAAUCACAAAGAAAGAAGAGGCUCAACCUUUGCCUCUGAAGCUUGAGCCACCGCUGUACAAACCAAAUAAGAUGUAUCCACUGUUAACUGGCAACGUAGAAAUUAAAGGGGAAGUCACACUAGAUGAAGGAGAUAAGUGUAACACACAGGGGAAUAGGGGCGCACCCAUACACAUGGACUGUUAUGAGGGGAUUAGGAAAGCAAGACAAGAGUGUAGCAAUGCUGACACUAGUUAUAGUAAGAGUGAGGAUGAGGACGAAGAUGAGACAAGUGGUGAUGAGCACAGUAAUAAAGAUGUGAAAGAUGGUAAUGAGCGAAUUUGCGAAGGGCCUUCUUCUAGAAAGAAAAGGAGAGGAAAAAACACAAAGACGAGGACGAAGUCUCAGAAAAGGCAAACAAAAAAGAGUACUAAACUCAAGGGGGAGAGGUAUAGUGAGAGCCCAGCGACAGAGGAGCCUGGCUGCAGUAUAUCAGUACUAAGCCCCACACCACUCGAGUUAAAUGAGAAACUAAGGAAAUCGCAAAGGGGAAAAAAGGCACCCGACACCCUCCCCGGGAACUAUCCUAUUCUAGUCAAAGGACAACAUGUCCACUAUCAACCGUGGGGUUCACAGGACUUGGAGGGAGUUAUUUCUAAACUCCCUAACAUUCAUAACGGGGCGGCUAAAUGGAUUCGAACAUUUGAGGAACUCACAGUGGGAAACCUAAUGGCAGUGGGGGACCUGAAUGCUCUGUUGGCAAGAGUAUUGGGGUUAUCUAAAAUGGAGUCUGUACUGAGGAAUGGAGGGUUGGAUAUAAUGGACGGAAUCCAUGAUGGGACUACACUUAAUUACUACAGAGUGGCGAUGUGGAACACACUCAGAAGGGAGUUCCCGACCCAUAGCGAUCAUAAAAACAUGAGAGGCCUCCCCAUCAAUGACACAGAGAAUCCUGCAUCCUACCUCCAGGCCCAAGUCGACAGAUGGCGCUUGGAGACUAAUGAGGAUCCUGAGAUCCAUCCUGUGUUUUCGGUCAUGUUCAGAAACUCUGUGAUAAAGAUUCUAACUAGCCCAAUCAAAGUUAAGCUGGAUGAUGUGGUUGGACUGGUUACAAAUAAAUCUCACAGAGACUUUUGCGAUCAUGUGGUUCAUGCAGUGGACAAAUAUCGGCAGAAUGAACACAAAAUACAGGAACAAAGCAAAGAGGUGCAAAGGAAGCUAUCUCAGCUUCAGUUGGAAGAACUCACAAGAAGAGAGAAAGAGAAGAAGAAACAGGCAGUUGUUUCAGAACCUGUUGAUACAAUAUUGCAAGCCGUCCAGCAGGGCGCACCACAAACCCAACCUCCUCAACAGGCAUUCUUCCCCCCAGUACAACAGCCUCAGAGCCAAUGGUCACCCACUCCACCUGCCAUAAAUAUAGACACACAUAACAAUGGGAACCCAAUGGGUGGGAACAAGCAGAAUCACAACAAGGGGCCCCAGGGACAGUAUAAGAAUAAUCAGCAACAGGGGUCCCAAGGGCAGUAUAAAAAUAAUCAACAGCAAGGAUUCCAAGGACAACGCAGAGGUCCUUUAAUAUGUUAUGGGUGCAACCAGGAAGGACAUAUGAAGAGAAAUCGUUUGACUAACCCUCUUCCAUCCCAGCAAGGACAGGGUAACGGUUAUCAGGGGAGGCAAGAUCAAGGGAACUACAACCAGGGACAGCAGGGUCCCUUUAUGGGACAGGGAUACUAG
ensembl:lncRNA